AUUGAACGCUGGCGGCAGGCCUAACACAUGCAAGUCGAGCGGAUGAAGGGAGCUUGCUCCUGGAUUCAGCGGUGGACGGGUGAGUAAUGCCUAGGAAUCUGCCUGGUAGUGGGGGAUAACGUCCGGAAACGGGCGCUAAUACCGCAUACGUCCUGAGGGAGAAAGUGGGGGAUCUUCGGACCUCACGCUAUCAGAUGAGCCUAGGUCGGAUUAGCUAGUUGGUGGGGUAAAGGCCUACCAAGGCGACGAUCCGUAACUGGUCUGAGAGGAUGAUCAGUCACACUGGAACUGAGACACGGUCCAGACUCCUACGGGAGGCAGCAGUGGGGAAUAUUGGACAAUGGGCGAAAGCCUGAUCCAGCCAUGCCGCGUGUGUGAAGAAGGUCUUCGGAUUGUAAAGCACUUUAAGUUGGGAGGAAGGGCAGUAAGUUAAUACCUUGCUGUUUUGACGUUACCAACAGAAUAAGCACCGGCUAACUUCGU
rnacentral:rRNA from 1 species